UAUGCUUAACACAUGCAAGUCGAACGAGACGAGAUGGAAGUGCUUGCACGGAAAUCUUAGAAAGUGGCGAACGGGUGAGUAACGCGUGGGUAACCUGCCCUAUGGAAAGGAAUAGCCUCGGGAAACUGGGAGUAAUGCCUUAUAAUAUAAAGAAGUCGCAUGGCUUUUUUAUUAAACGCUCCGGUGCCAUAGGAUGGACCCGCGUCCCAUUAGCUAGUUGGUGAGAUAACAGCUCACCAAGGCGACGAUGGGUAACCGGUCUGAGAGGGCGAACGGUCACACUGGAACUGAGACACGGUCCAGACUCCUACGGGAGGCAGCAGUGGGGAAUAUUGCGCAAUGGGGGAAACCCUGACGCAGCAAUACCGCGUGAGUGAAGAAGGUUUUCGGAUCGUAAAGCUCUGUUAUUGGGG
rnacentral:rRNA from 1 species